rnacentral:rRNA from 1 species
UACAGAGGUCUCAAGCGUUGUUCGGAUUCAUUGGGCGUAAAGGGUGCGUAGGUGGCGCCGUAAGUCGGGUGUGAAAUUUCGGAGCUUAACUCCGAAACUGCAUUCGAUACUGCGGUGCUUGAGGACUGGAGAGGAGACUGGAAUUCAUGGUGUAGCAGUGAAAUGCGUAGAUAUCGUAAGGAAGACCAGUGGCGAAGGCGAAUCUCUGGACAGUUACUGACACUGAGGCACGAAGGCCAGGGGAGCAAACGGG